AACAAAAACAGAAGAAAAAAAAAAGGAUGACACUGCCAACAGUCUUCAAACAGGCGUUAUAGGAUCUCUCCUCCAACCAGGAUCGGACGGACUGGCUCAUAGCACGAGGUUCAGGUCUCUGACUAGACAGCGCGAAUGACAACAAGGAAAUAAGGUUGAUGAUGUGUGAACCUGACACCACGCCCUUCAGCCAUCAUCGCCUGUCCUCUCCACCUCUGGAAAAAGAAGGCCUGAGUCAGCGGAGAGUCCCCGGACAGAUGGGAACAAUCUGCUCUCUGAACCACCAGCUGGAGAAAAAGAGGGCCGGCCGUGUGCCGAUGACCUGACCGCUUCAAUUAAUUACUACUUUAACUGUAUCCGUACACACACCCAACCAAAUAAAGCUUCCUCUUCAUUUAUUAUUUAAAAAAUGUUUCCACGUAUCAACAGUUACUGGUACAGCGCACUUUAAAGGGCAACUGAGCAUAAAACAGUUUCAAUUUAAGAUAUGGAACCAACAU